GUCCCUGUCUAACAAGAAACUUAAGAUCAAGCGUAGUAUCUGUUCUUAUCAGUUUAACUUCUGAUAUGUCCUUUAUUUGAGGACUGUAUAUUAAAUUGAUUUUUGAAACAGGGGGAUGGAAUAGGAGCUUGCUCUGUCCACCCCAGGCAUCGACCUGGUGUUGCAGUGCCUCCAGGAAUGGUGCAAAGAAA
rfam:Chelonia mydas contig257272, whole genome shotgun sequence.